CUACUCUUAACUUCUCCCCUGGCCCUACAUAUUCUGGCCCACUCCUGUCCUGCUCUUAGUUCUACUUCUUGCUCCUACUCUGGACCCUGCUCUUGGCUCUACUCUUAGUUCUACUCCUGGCUCUACUCUUAGUUCUACUCUUGGCCCUACUCUUAGUUCUACUCCUGGCCCUACUCUUAGUUCUACUCCUGACUCCUUAACUCCUUCAGUCUACUCUUGGCUCUUAGUUCUACUCCUGACGUCUGACUCUUUGGAGCCUACUCUUGGCUCUUAGUUCUACUCCUGGCCCUACUCUUAGUUCUACUACCGGCCCUACUCCUAGUUCUACUCCUGGCCCUACUCUUGGCUCUUUAGUUCUACUCUGGUUCUACCCUUAUUUCUACACCUGGCUCUAUGUAGUCCUGGCCCCACUCCUGGUCCUGCUCUUAGUUCUACUCUUGGCUCUACUCCUGGCCUGGCUCUUGUGCUUCUACUCUUAGUUUCGACUCUUGCUCUACUCUUAGUUCUACUCCUGGGCCCUACUCUUAGUUCUAGUCCUGGCUCUACUCCUAGCUGUCUACUCUUUGGUUCUACUCUAGUCCUACUCGUUGGCUCUAGUUCUACUCUUGGCUCUACUCUUAGUUCUACUCUUGACUCUACUCUUAGUUCUACUCUUGGCCCUACUCUUGGUUCUACUCCUACUUCUACCCCUGGCCAUACGUAGUCCUGGCCCCACUCCUGCGUUUCCUGCUCUUUAGUGUCUUAUCUUCUUGGCCUACUCCGUGGCCCUGCUCUGGCUCUACUCUUUAGUUUCUGACUCCUGACCUCUACUCUUAGUUCUACUCCUGGCCCUACUCUUAGCUUCUACUUCUGCCCUACUCUUAGUUCUACUUCCUGGCUCACUCCUAGUUCUACUCUUGGGUUCUAUCUAGUCCUACUCUUGGCUCUUAGUUCUACUCUUGGCUCUACUCUUAGUUCUGCUCUUGGCCCUACUCUUGGUUCUACUCCUACUUCUACCCCUGGCCCUACAUAGUUCUGGCCCCCGCAUCUCCUGGGCUGUCCUUGCCUGUCUUAGUUCUACCUC
rnacentral:lncRNA from 1 species